UACGUAGGGGGCUAGCGUUGUCCGGAAUUAUUGGGCGUAAAGCGUCCGUAGGCGGUGUGUCGCGUCGGCCGUGAAAACCUGCAGCUUAACUGUGGGCUUGCGGUCGAUACGGGCAUCACUGGAGUUCGGCAGGGGAGACUGGAAUUCCUGGUGUAGCGGUGAAAUGCGCAGAUAUCAGGAGGAACACCGGUGGCGAAGGCGGGUCUCUGGGCCGAUACUGACGCUGAGGAGCGAAAGCGUGGGGAGCGAACAGG
rnacentral:rRNA from 1 species